rnacentral:rRNA from 1 species
GGUGAGUAACACGUGAGCAAUCUGCCCCUGACUCUGGGAUAAGCGCUGGAAACGGCGUCUAAUACUGGAUACGAGCUGCGAAGGCAUCUUCAGCAGCUGGAAAGAACUUCGGUCAGGGAUGAGCUCGCGGCCUAUCAGCUUGUUGGUGAGGUAAUGGCUCACCAAGGCGUCGACGGGUAGCCGGCCUGAGAGGGUGACCGGCCACACUGGGACUGAGACACGGCCCAGACUCCUACGGGAGGCAGCAGUGGGGAAUAUUGCACAAUGGGCGAAAGCCUGAUGCAGCAACGCCGCGUGAGGGACGACGGCCUUCGGGUUGUAAACCUCUUUUAGCAGGGAAGAAGCGAAAGUGACGGUACCUGCAGAAAAAGCACCGGCUAACUACGUGCCAGCAGCCGCGGUAAUACGUAGGGUGCAAGCGUUAUCCGGAAUUAUUGGGCGUAAAGAGCUCGUAGGCGGUUUGUCGCGUCUGCUGUGAAAACCCGAGGCUCAACCUCGGGCCUGCAGUGGGUACGGGCAGACUAGAGUGCGGUAGGGGAGAUUGGAAUUCCUGGUGUAGCGGUGGAAUGCGCAGAUAUCAGGAGGAACACCGAUGGCGAAGGCAGAUCUCUGGGCCGUAACUGACGCUGAGGAGCGAAAGGGUGGGGAGCAAACAGGCUUAGAUACCCUGGUAGUCCACCCCGUAAACGUUGGGAACUAGUUGUGGGGUCCAUUCCACGGAUUCCGUGACG